UAAUAUUGCAGAUCAAAGAUUUAUCUUUGACAAGUCUACUGUGUCACUGCCCUAUCAACUUUCGAUGGUACGGUAUUGGCCUACCAUGGUUGUAACGGGUAACGGGGAAUUAGGGUUCGAUUCCGGAGAGGGAGCCUGAGAAAUGGCUACCACUUCUACGGAAGGCAGCAGGCGCGCAAAUUACUCAAUCCCAAUACGGGGAAGUAGUGACAAUAAAUAUCGAUGCCUAACCAUUUUUGGAAGGGUAAUUGAAAUGAACACAAAUUAAAACUCUUAAUUAAUACAAUUGGAGGGCAAGUCUGGUGCCAGCAGCCGCGGUAAUUCCAGCUCCAAUAGCAUAUACUAAAGUUGUUGCAGUUAAAAAGCUCGUAGUUGAAGUUAAAGCUUUAUUUGGGUUAAAAAUCUAUUUACCUUUUAUUGGUUAAAUCAGAUUCCAGUAUUGCUUUUUUAAAGUUCAGUUUGUAUUGCCUUUGGUAGUAUUUAUUUGGACAUUUCACUGUGAGAAAAUUGUGGUGUUUAAAGCAGGCGUCUCUGCCUGAUCUUUUGCAGCAUGGUAUGAUGGAACAUGACAUUUUGCGCAAUUGGUUGCGAUUAAAGUGUAAUGAUUAAUAGGGAUGGAUGGGGGUGUUCAUAUUGGUGGGCGAGAGGUGAAAUUCGUUGACCCUAUCAAGAUGAACUUCUGCGAAAGCAUUCACCAAAUACUUCCCCAUUAAUCAAGAACGAAAGUUUGGGGAUCGAAGACGAUCAGAUACCGUCGUAGUCCAAACUAUAAACUAUGUCGACCAGGGAUCGGUUAAAACUUUUUAAAAGUUUAAUCGGCACCUUGUGAGAAAUCACGAGUGUUUAGAUUCCGGGGGGAGUAUGGUCGCAAGUCUGAAACUUAAAGGAAUUGACGGAAGGGCACACAAUGGAGUGGAGCCUGCGGCUUAAUUUGACUCAACUCGGGAAAACUUACCAAGCUAAGAUAUAGUAAGGAUUGACAGACUAAGAGAUCUUUCAUGAUUCUAUAAGUGGUGGUGCAUGGUCGUUCUUAGUUGGUGGAGCGAUUUGUCUGGUCAAUUCCGAUAACGGACGAGACCUCGACCUGCUAACUAGUAGUAUUUAUUGGCCGUUAUGGAUGAUAGCUAUUUCGGGGUUUGGAAGGUCUUCGGAUCUCUCCGCUUCGUGUGGUGUGUAAUCUGGUCGGAUAGGUACGAAUUAAAACUUCUUAGAGGGACUACCUGCCUCAAGCAGGCGGAAGUCCGAGGCAAUAACAGGUCUGUGAUGCCCUUAGAUACCUUGGGCCGCACGCGCGCUACAAUGUAGAAAGCAAAAAGGUUCCUGGUCCGGAAGGAUUGGGUAAUCAAUUGAAUUUUCUACGUAACUGGGAUUGAUCUUUGUAAUUAUUGAUCAUCAACGAGGAAUUCCUUGUAAGCGUAAGUCAUUACCUUAUGCUGAAUAUGUCCCUGCCCUUUGUACACACCGCCCGUCGCUCCUACCGAUCGAAUGAUACGGUAAAGCCAACGGAUAAGGUCCUAUUGGGCAACCAGUACGGAUUUUAAAAGUUGUUUAAAUCUCAUUGUUUAGAGGAAGGAGAAGUCGUAACAAGGUAUCCGUAGGUGAACCUGCGGAUGGAUCAUUUUUCAUCUCGAAACUUGAUACAAAAUUGAAUCUUUGAUCUGUUUUUCUUUUAAAUAGAACGGGUUCUUUUUUGUUCAUCUGCAAUUUCCAACACAUGGUUAACAUUUGAUUCCUUACUUAUUUNGUUGGUCAAACAACCAUUUAAAGAAGUGUAAGCUUUAAAUCANUAAAGCAUAAACGGUGAAUACCUCGACUCCUAAAUCGAUGAAGACCGUAGCAAACUGCGAUAAUUCACUUGAAUUGCAGCCUACUGGGAUAGUUGAAAUGUUGAACGCACAUGAUGGCAUUGGCCCUUUGGGUUAAGUGUCAUACUUGGGUGAGAGCGAUCUCUAUAUUAAAUAUUAAACUUUUUAUUAAUACAAAUUUUGUUUGUAUAAACAAUCGUUUGAUAUAAUAGUUUAAUUUUUAGUCUCUGAUUAAAAGUUAAAUUAUUUUUAUAGUUGAUCUAUAGUAGUCUUUGCAGUGGUAUAAUCGACUUUGGUUUCAAUUUCGAUCAAACCAUACUAUUUGAUGGCGUUUCUUUUACCUGAAACUUUUAAUCAACAUUCAAUUGAAAAAGCGAAUAAUGAACUAGUUUCGUAUAGGUUUAAUUUACAAACUCUUAUAAUAUGGCUCUUUAAUGUUAAUUUGAUUUUUAAAAUUGUUACUAUUCUUUUGUAUAUUCCAAACACUGAUAAAGAAGCAACAUUAUGAACGUUAACGAUAAAGUUUAUCUUUAUUGGUUCAACAGUUGUAUAUAUUUCGCCUCAUCCAAGUAAGAUUACCCGCUGAACUUAAGCAUAUCAGUAAGCGGAGGAAAAGAAACUAACUAGGAUUCCGUCAGUAAC
rnacentral:rRNA from 1 species